rnacentral:rRNA from 1 species
UACAGGGGGUGCAAGCGUUGCUCGGAAUUACUGGGCGUAAAGCGUACGCAGGCGGGUUGACAAGUCGGGUGUGAAAGCCCGGGGCUCAACCCCGGAAAUGCACUCGAGACUGUCGUCCUCGAGUACGGGAGAGGUGAGCGGAAUUCCUGGUGUAGCGGUGAAAUGCGUAGAUAUCAGGAGGAACACCGGUGGCGAAAGCGGCUCACUGGUCCGAUACUGACGCUCAUGUACGAAAGCGAGGGGAGCAAACAGG